AACGAACGCUGGCGGCGUGCUUAACACAUGCAAGUCGAACGAUGAACCCGGAGCUUGCUCCGGUGGAUUAGUGGCGAACGGGUGAGUAACACGUGAGUAACCUGCCCUUGACUCUGGGAUAACUGCGGGAAACUGUAGCUAAUACCGGAUACGACCCUCGGCGGCAUCGCCAGGGGGUGGAAAGAAUUUCGGUCAAGGAUGGACUCGCGGCCUAUCAGCUAGUUGGUGCGGUAACGGCUCACCAAGGCGACGACGGGUAGCCGGCCUGAGAGGGUGGCCGGCCAGGCGGGGACUGGGACAGGGCCGAGACUGCGACGGGAGGAAGCAGUGGGGAAUAUUGCACAAUGGGCGCAAGCCUGAUGCAGCAACGCCGCGUGAGGGAUGACGGCCUUCGGGUUGUAAACCUCUUUUAGUAGGGAAGAAGCGAAAGUGACGGUACCUGCAGAAAAAGCACCGGCUAACUACGUGCCAGCCGCCGCUGUAA
rnacentral:rRNA from 1 species